rnacentral:rRNA from 1 species
AUUGAACGCUGGCGGCAGGCCUAACACAUGCAAGUCGAACGGUAACAGGAAGCAGCUUGCUGCUUCGCUGACGAGUGGCGGACGGGUGAGUAAUGUCUGGGAAACUGCCUGAUGGAGGGGGAUAACUACUGGAAACGGUAGCUAAUACCGCAUAACGUCGCAAGACCAAAGAGGGGGACCUUCGGGCCUCUUGCCAUCGGAUGUGCCCAGAUGGGAUUAGCUAGUAGGUGGGGAACGGCUCACCUAGGCGACGAUCCCUAGCUGGUCUGAGAGGAUGACCAGCCACACUGGAACUGGACACGGUCCAGACUCCUACGGGAGGCAGCAGUGGGGAAUAUUGCACAAUGGGCGCAAGCCUGAUGCAGCCAUGCCGCGUGUAUGAAGAAGGCCUUCGGGUUGUAAAGUACUUUGCAGCGGGGAGGAAGGCGAUAAGGUUAAUAACCUUGUCGAUUGACGUUACCCGCGAAGAGCACCGUAACU